rnacentral:rRNA from 1 species
GCGCACCAGGCGCGAAUCUUCCACAAUGGACGAAAGUCUGAUGGAGCGACGCCGCGUGCGGGAUGAAGGCCUUAUGGGUUGUAAACCGCUGUCAGGGGGGAAGAACAUCGGAAUGAACAAUACUCAUUCCGACUGACGUUACCCCCAGAGGAAGCUCCGGCCAACUCCGUGCCAGCAGCCGCGGUAAUACGGGGGGAGCAAGCGUUGUCCGGAGUUAUUGGGCGUAAAGGGCGUGUAGGCGGCGAGGUAAGUCGAAUGUGAAAUCUCACGGCUCAACCGUGAAACUGCGUUCGAAACUACCCUGCUUGAGUACGGGA